CACUCACGGCUUCACCACUCCAGGAAGACUCUGCACUCACUCAUCUUCACCAUUCACGACGCCGUCACUCGUCUUCACCAUCCCGGCGCUUCUCUUCUCUAUGCGCUCACAUCAGGACGACACUGCUCUCUUCAUUCGGUCACCAUCGUCGAGAAGGAUAAUUCUAAAGAUGCGAGUGAAGAUUGAGAUGCUUAUCAUGAUGGUUUAUUGACAAAGGUGGAAAUUGAAAGAUGUAUGGUUGAUGAUGAUGUCUUUUAUUAGAAGCUAAGAUACAUUUAUAUGAUAUAAUAUUUUGAUUUUUCCUAGUUUAUUAGUAGUAAACUCUAAGUGCAUUAUAUGAGUAUACUUAUUCUAGUUUGAGAUGUAUGAAUGCUCAAAAUUAUGAUCAUUCCAAUAUUUUUGGUUCAUUGUAUAAUUAUAUUUUGUUUCAGU